GCUGGGCGUGGUGGCUCAUGCCUGUAAUCCCAGCACUUUGGGAGGCUGAGGUGGGUGGGUCACUUGAGGUCAGGAACUCGGUACGAGCCUGGCCAACAUGGUGAAACCCCAUCUCUA
ensembl:misc_RNA Metazoa_SRP Metazoan signal recognition particle RNA